rnacentral:rRNA from 1 species
UACGGAGGGUGCGAGCGUUGUCCGGAAUCACUGGGCGUAAAGGGCGCGUAGGCGGCCUGGUAAGUAGGGGGUGAAAUCCUGCGGCUUAACCGCAGGGCUGCCUUCUAAACUGUCAGGCUCGAGCACGGUAGAGGCAGAUGGAAUUCCCGGUGUAGCGGUGGAAUGCGUAGAGAUCAGGAAGAACACCGGUGGCGAAGGCGCUCUGCUAGGCCGCAACUGACACUGAGGGACGAAAGCUAGGGGAGCGAAUGGG